GCUAUGGGGAUUGCGAUCUCCCCACGAGGCGACAUGCCCAAGUAUCGCGUCCUGUUCUCACACAAGGGCGCAUCAUG
ncrna:unclassified sequences chrB RNA